rnacentral:rRNA from 1 species
GUUGUCCGGAAUCAUUGGGUGUAAAGGGUACGUAGGCGGGAGCCUAAGUCUGGGGUGAAAUCUUGCCGCUUAACGGUAAAAUGGCCCUGGAUACUGGGUUUCUUGAGUGCAGAAGAGGCAGGUGGAAUUCGUGGUGUAGCGGUGAAAUGCUUAGAUAUCACGAAGAACAUCAGUGGCGAAGGCGGCCUGCUGGUCUGCAACUGACGCUGAGGUACGAAAGCGUGGGGAGCGAACAGGAUUAGAUACCCUGGUAGUCCACGCCGUAAACGAUGCAUACUAGGUGUUGGCCUUUGGGCCAGUGCUGCAGUUAACGCAUUAAGUAUGCCACCUGGGGAGUACGUCGGCAACGAUGAAACUCAAAGGAAUUGACGGGGGCCCGCACAAGCGGUGGAGCAUGUGGCUUAAUUCGAUGCAACGCGAGGAACCUUACCUGGGCUAAAUCCACAGUGAUGUCUUCUGGAAACAGGAGGUCCCUUAGGGGCACUAUGGAAGGUGCUGCAUGGCU